rnacentral:rRNA from 1 species
AACGAACGCUGGCGGCAUGCUUAACACAUGCAAGUCGAACGUGAAAGUGGGCUUCGGCCCGCGAGUAAAGUGGCGCACGGGUGAGUAACACGUGGAUAAUCUACCCGAUGAUCUGGAAUAACACUUCGAAAGGGGUGCUAAUACCGGAUAAGCUCACGACGUCUUCGGACGAUGUGGGAAAAGGGGGCUUCGGCUCCUGUCAUCGGAUGAGUCCGCGGCCCAUUAGCUAGUUGGUAGGGUAAUGGCCUACCAAGGCGACGAUGGGUAGCUGGUCUGGGAGGAUGAUCAGCCACACUGGAGCUGAGACACGGUCCAGACUCCUACGGGAGGCAGCAGUGGGGAAUUGUUCGCAAUGGGCGAAAGCCUGACGCAGCAAUGCCGCGUGAGUGAUGAAGGCCUUCGGGUCGUAAAGCUCUGUCAGAGGGGAAGAAACUCCUGUCGGUUAAUACCCGGCAGGCCUGACGGUACCCUCAAAGGAAGCACCGGCUAACUCCGUGCCAGCCGCCGCAGUAAGAC